rnacentral:rRNA from 1 species
GUUACCUUCUAGUUAUCUUCUACAGUAGUGAUGACGUUCAAUAGGGUUCGAUUCCGGAGAGGGAGCCUGAGAAGGGCUGCCCAUCCAAGGAAGGCAGCAGGCGCGCAAAAACCAAUCCAAACACGGGGAGGUAGUGACAAUAUGUAACAAUAUACGGCCUUAUACGUCGUAUAAUUGGAAUGAGUACUCCCCAAUCCCUUAACGAGGAACAAUUGGAGGGCAAGUCUGGUGCCCCCACCCGCGGUAAUUCCCCCUCCAUAGCGUAUAUUAAAGUUGUUGCAGUUAAAAACUCGUAUUGGACCUUGGACCUGGAGGGCGGUCCCCUCCCGAAAUAUGUCUGGUGUCUUCCCCCAGUAUAUGUUCUCAGGGAAGCGACAUGA